GGCUCAGAACAAACGCUGGCGGCGUGCCUAAUACAUGCAAGUCGAACGAUGUAGCAAUACAGAGUGGCGCACGGGAGAGUAACACGUGGAUAAUCUUCCUUUUAGUGGGGAACAACUUUCCGAAAGGAAAGCUAAUACCGCAUAAGACCACAGUGACUGCGGUCACAGGGGUUAAAGGUGGAACCUUCGGGUCUAUCGCUAAAAGAUGAGUCUGCGCUCGAUUAGCUAGUUGGCGGGGUAAUGGCCCACCAAGGCGACGAUCGAUAGCUGGUCUGAGAGGAUGACCAGCCUCACUGGAACUGAGACACGGUCCAGACUCCUACGGGAGGCAGCAGUAGGGAAUAUUGCACAAUGGGGGAAACCCUGAUGCAGCGACGCCGCGUGAGUGAUGAAGGCCUUCGGGUCGUAAAGCUCUGUUGUACGGGAAGAAAAGCUCAUGACUAAUAAUCAUGAGUUUUGACGGUACCGUAUCAGAAAGGACCGGCUAACUUCGUGCCAGCAGCCGCGGUAAUACGAGGGGUCCUAGCGUUGUUCGGAAUCACUGGGCGUAAAGCGUAUGUAGGCGGCUUUCUAAGUCGGAUGUGAAAUCCCAUGGCUCAACCAUGGAAUUGCAUUCGAAACUGGAAAGCUUGAGUGUGGGAGAGAUUGGUAGAAUACCUGGUGUAGUGGUGAAAUACGUAGAUAU
rnacentral:rRNA from 1 species